AAGCUACGAGCUAGAAGUACAGUCGGGACCGGGACCAUAUGCGAUUAUCUCCUGUUCGGUUUUAUUGGAAAGAAAAUUGCUCUCUUACACGUCGUUCUCUCGUGUGUUCCUCUGCGCAUUGGGUCAGUUGAUGUUGUGACAUUCUUGAGGGAGACACUGUGAGGACCAGGAUGCUGGGGAUUGUUGUCAUGGCAUUUGUUCACCUUCUGAGUGUCAGCUUGCCAGCAGAUGGGCUUCACAUCAGACUGGUCAAUGGGACAUGCAGGUGCUCUGGGAGAAUGGAGGUUCAUCACGGUGGCCAGUGGGGAACCGUGUGUGCUGAUCACUGGGACAUGAACAACACUGCAGUGGUGUGCA